rnacentral:lncRNA from 1 species
CGCCGUCGGCGGCGGACACGAGGGCUCGCCGGGCCAGGGAGAGGAUCCAGGCGCCACCAAACCUCGUACGCGAGGACACCGCCGUUGCUCGGACUUGAGCGCGGGCCACCUCCACCGCGUGAUGCGGCUGCUCUGUGGAGAGCCGGGCCGAGGCCCGCUCGGAGGAGCGGCGUGUCGUGGCUGUGGUGUCCGCCGCGCCCGGAGGACUGAUGCUUCUGCGACCGUCCUCGACGAGGUUGUUGCCGCUACAGUGAUGGCGAGACGGCGAGACGGUGAGCAGCAGUGGCCGCUAGUUCCAGUUCAAGAAAUUAGAAAAAGACAUGGUACCUUCUUCUUCCCUUUGCAUGACUGGAUGAUACGUUCUUGAUUGAAGCUUUCUCUUCCUGAUCAAGGAUUUCUUCCGGUUGAUGCUUCAGCCACCUAUUCAUCUCGCCAUGCUCACAUGCUCGGAUGAAGCGAUGCACUAUGUGGUGCAGAAAAUGCAGUUAAUUUCGAGAUCACUGGAAGAAAACAAAUACUUAAUUACUAAAUGGAAUUAGUGUUUCCUGAUCGAUUUCUCUUAUGGCUGUUUUAGGCGUUCGUGCCGAGAGGAGCCAGGCCGAGGGGAGCGUCGUUGCGCCGAUGCGCGCCACUGCCUCCUGUCCCGCAGCGGGCUGCAACGAUGAGACUCUGUGCGCGUGCCGGCCGGAGGGUGUCGCUGCAGAGGGUGGUCGGCCAUGGCCAUAUCCUCCGCGCCGUCGAUCUGCGCGGAUGUGAGCCUUUUCUUGUUCUGCUCUUUUUGUUUGUAGUUCAAGAAUGAUCAAUUCUUCGUGAGAUUCGUGUGAGCGCAUAUAUACUAUUAGUUUUCCUAUCAACAAGAUGUGUUCUUCAUCCUCUGCAAUGAUGUUCUGCUCUUCUCUUGUCCGGCCAAAUCGCUCGAUAGGAGAGCAAAGUGCAUGAUAACGUGUUUUGAGUGAAAAGUAAAGAACGAGAGAGUUUAAUGAAAGAUGAUCCAUCAGUCUUUAUUGAUGAUAGAAGUGGGGUAUUUAUACCCAGGCGGAAGUACACAUGGUGCUUGGCGGUCAAGUAAAAACAUAGUUACUUGAGAGCCAAGGAAUUACAUAGUUGCCUUGAGAACCAAGGAA